rnacentral:rRNA from 1 species
UGGGGAAUUUUGGACAAUGGGCGAAAGCCUGAUCCAGCCAUGCCGCGUGAGUGAAGAAGGCCUUCGGGUUGUAAAGCUCUUUUAGUCGGAAAGAAAAGAUCAUAAUGAACAAUUAUGAUUCAUGACGGUACCGACAGAAAAAGCACCGGCUAACUACGUGCCAGCAGCCGCGGUAAUACGUAGGGUGCGAGCGUUAAUCGGAAUUACUGGGCGUAAAGGGUGCGCAGGCGGUUUUGUAAGUCAGAUGUGAAAUCCCCGGGCUUAACCUGGGAAUUGCGUUUGAAACUGCAAGACUAGAGUGCAGCAGAGGGGAGUGGAAUUCCAUGUGUAGCAGUGGAAUGCGUAGAGAUGUGGAAGAACACCGAUGGCGAAGGCAGCUCCCUGGGUUGACACUGACGCUCAUGCACGAAAGCGUGGGGAGCAAACA